GUCUUUUUGAAUUAAAUUUAAAGUCUAACCUGCCCACUGAAAAUUUUAAAUGGCCGCAGUAUUCUAACUGUGCAAAGGUAGCAUAAUCAUUAGUCUUUUAAUUGAAGGCUGGAAUGAAUGGUUGGACGAAAUAUUAACUGUUUCAUUUAAAUUUUUUAUAGAAUUUUAUUUUUUAGUCAAAAAGCUAAAAUAAAUUUAAAAGACGAGAAGACCCUAUAAAUCUUUAUAUUUUGUUUAUUUUAAUUAUAAAGAUUAUUUUUAUUAUAAUAAAUUAAAAUAUUUUAUUGGGGUGAUAUUAAAAUUUAAAAAACUUUUAAUUUUUAAAACCAUUAAUUUAUGAAUAAUUGAUCCAUUAAUAAUGAUUAAAAAUUUAAGUUACUUUAGGGAUAACAGCGUAAUUUUUUUGGAGAGUUCAUAUCGAUAAAAAAGAUUGCGACCUCGAUGUUGGAUUAAGAUAUAAUUUUGGGUGUAGCCGUUCAAAUUUUAAGUCUGUUCGACUUUUAAAUUCUU
rnacentral:rRNA from 4 species